rnacentral:tRNA from 1 species
AGGGAUGUAGCUUGUCGGGAAGGCGUUCGCUAAUCGAAAGGACCCGGGAUCGAAACCCGGCUUCCCUU